rnacentral:lncRNA from 1 species
GCUCUGGGAGGCAUGAGUGACUUCUUCCACGAAUCGGCCAAGAAGAUUCAGGGCACUGAGUGUCUCUUGAAGAUGUGUGUGUGGCAGCGGCACCCAUUUCCAGGAUGUGGAGAAGCCAUCUCAAAAUGAGUGGGGGUAAAAACCCUGGGUUCCAUGGAAGCCACCAUGGCUCUGGGGAAGAACCUGAACCAGAUCCUCGAUCUUUAGGCCCUGGGUUCUGCCUGCACAGACCCCCAUCUUCUGUGACUUCCGGAGAGCCACUUCCUAGAUGAGGAGGUGAAACUCAACAACAAGAUCGGCGACUACCAGACCAACCUCCCCAGGCUGGGCUGGGUAAAUGUUUCUUCCAAAAGACUCACCCUCAAGCAC